UUUCGCAAUGCCCGAAAGGGUGACGAAGCGACGCCGCGUGUGGGAAGAAGGCCUUCGGGUUGUAAACCACUGUCGGGAGUUAAGAAAUACAAGGAUAUUAAUAGUGUCUUUGUUUGACUAAGGCUCCGGAGGAAGCCACGGCUAACUCUGUGCCAGCAGCCGCGGUAAUACAGAGGCGGCAAGCGUUGUUCGGAAUUAUUGGGCGUAAAGAGCACGUAGGCGGCCUUGCAAGUCAGUUGUGAAAGCCUUCCGCUUAACGGAAGAACGGCAUCUGAUACUACAGGGCUUGAGUACGGGAAGGGAGAGUGGAACUUCUGGUGGAGCGGUGAAAUGCGUAGAUAUCAGAAGGAACGCCGGCGGCGAAAGCGACUCUCUGGUCCGAAACUGACGCUGAGUGUGCGAAAGCUAGGGGAGCAAACGGGAUUAGAUACCCCGGUAGUCCUAGCCGUAAACGAUGGGCACUAAGUAGAGGGGUUUU
rnacentral:rRNA from 1 species